GACUCCUUCGGGUUAUAGGGUCAAGCAAUGAAGCGCACACGGUGGAUGCCUAGGCAGCCAGAGGCGAUGAAAGACGUGGUAGCCUGCGAUAAGGUUCGGUGAGGUGGCAACAACCUGUGACCCGGACAUCUCUGAAUGGGGAAACCCACUCAUCAUAAGAUGAGUAUCCUACGCUGAAUACAUAGGCGUAGGAGGCGAACCAGGGGAACUGAAACAUCUAAGUACCCUGAGGAAAAGAAAUCAACCGAGAUUCCCCUAGUAGCGGCGAGCGAACGGGGACCAGCCCUUAAGCAUGAGAUUGAUUAGGCGAACAGAUUGGGAAGUCU
rnacentral:rRNA from 1 species